rnacentral:rRNA from 1 species
CCUACGGGAGGCAGCAGUGAGGAAUAUUGGUCAAUGGACGAGAGUCUGAACCAGCCAAGUAGCGUGAAGGAUGACUGCCCUAUGGGUUGUAAAUUUCUUUUAUAUGGGAAUAAAAUGUUCCACGUGUGGGAGUUUGUAUGUACCAUAUGAACAAGGAUCGGCUAACUCCGUGCCAGCAGCCGCGGUAAUACGGAGGAUCCGAGCGUUAACCGGAUUGAUUGGGUUUAAAGGGAGCGUAGGUGGAUUGUUAAGUCAGUUGUGAAAGUUGGGGGCUCAACCGUAAAAUUGCAGUUGAAACUGGCAGUCUUGAGUAUAGUAGAGGUGGGCGGAAUUCGAGGUGUAGCGGUGAAAUGCUUAGAGAUCAGGAGGAACACCGAUUGCGAAGGCAGCCCACUGGACUGAAACUGACACUGAGGCGCGAAAGUGUGGGUAUCAAACAGGAUUAGAUACCCUAGUAGUC